CAAAGAGAGACGUUGAUAAGCAAGAAGGGCCAUUGUGCAACGGAAUGAGAAGGUUUUGUGCACCCUGGGAAGCCAAGGCCUGACUCAGAAGGCUGUCUCUAGUUUGUUCCAGUGUCUGGCCACAUGCUCGGGAUUUUUGUUCUCCAGGAAGCAGCUGAGAGCCACACAGAGGACCUGAGCCAGGAAAUCAGUUUCAGCUUAAUCAAUAUUUGGAGUAUGAGGUGUUGCUAAUCGGUGUUGAUUUGGUACAUAGUAGAAGUAGCCACAACUCAUGAUGUAGCAGCCACCCACGAGGCAGAUUCAACUCACAAGCUGCCAGCUUCCUGCAUUCCAGAGGGACCCCAAAAGCUGAAGACUGAGGCCUUCUGGAGGGUCGGAGACCACGCUCCGCUCCCACCACACCAGGAGAUACUGAAGCACCUAUCCUGUUUCAGACACUGCCCGGUCCUGAUGUCACUUUUCUUUUGUGUUUCACUUGUCACCCCGCUUCUCCUGCUUCUCAAAUAUGCCUCUCAGUCUGCGAAAUUAUAUCUCUGUCCCCAGCCUGGCUUUGGGUUCUCAUCUGAUUUAGAGUUUUUCUGAAAUAAACCAGAGCGAGAUGUCAGCAGCCGCUACCUGGACACCUUAGAAACACCUGGCGUCAAGCCCCGUUGCCUAGCUGGGCAUGAAAUGUUCCUUGUGGGGUUAUUCCUCCCCUUUCUUAGGUGAUGGCUCCAUACAAAGCAUGACUUCUGUCACUCUAUGUGCUUCAAAACCCCAUCUAGUAUAAAAGUUGAUAAUCUAGAACGGUGGUUGGCAAACUCGGGCUCAUAAGCCAGGCCACCCAGCUGCCUGUUUUUGUAAACAAAGUUGUGUGGGACGAUUGUGUCUGUGGCUGCAUUCACACUGCAGCAGAGCAGAGAACACUGACUGGCCCAAAUACUUCAAAUAAGCCUCAGGUUCAAUGGAGGCUAAAAAAUAUCCCCUGAACCCUAAAACCAUGUCUCCUGUCAUUAUCCCUUAAACAAUACAGAAAAAUAACUGUGUAUGUACCACCUGAGUUGUAUUAGCUACUGCCAGCAACCUAGAGAUGACUUAAAGUGUACACGAGGCUGUGCCUGGGUUAUAUGCAAAUGAGCACAUUAUAUAAGGGACUUGAGCAUCCACAGAUUUUUGAUGUCCUUGGGGGUCCUGGAACCAGUCCCCCAUGGUUACGGAGGGAUGACUGCAUUUACCAUCUGGCCACUUUUUGCAGCAAAAAUCUGCUAGCCUCUAAUGUAGAAUAUCACCGUCCGGUAGAAAAGUUCAAGCCACAUAAUAUGAUUUUGUAUUCAGUAGUUUCCAUAUCAAAAACGUCAACAAGAACAGGUGUAAUUGAUUUUAAUAUUUUAUUUAACUUGAGGUAUCCAAAUAUUAUCACUUCAACAUGCAAUCAAUAUAAAAUUAUUAAUGAGAUGUUUCAAAGUCUUUCUUUAAAUCCCAAGGCUUUGAAAUCAGUGUGUCUGAUGUACUUAGGGCAUAUCUCAGUGAGGACCAGCCACCUUGCAAGUGUCUAAUCUGCCAGGGGACUGCCAUGUUGGGUAGCCUGUGUCUAGAACUCCUGUCCCUGGGGUGUGCUUUUACGGUGCUUGAGACUUUGAAGCAGGUGAAAAUAAAAUAAUCUUCAUAUUGGA